GCCCCAGUGGCUUAGUGGUUUAGAGCAUGUGGCUGUUAACCACAGGGUCGCAGGUUCAACUCCUGCCUGGGGCGCCA
rnacentral:tRNA from 1 species